GGUCCCAUCGUCUAGUGGCCUAGGACUCCAGCUUCUCAAGCUGGCUACGCGGGUUCGAAUCCCGCUGGGACUGCCA
rnacentral:tRNA from 1 species